AGACGCUCCAUUCUUCCAGAGUUCCAGUUCCAGGCUUCAUCGCCGCGCCGCCGCCGCCAGCAGCAGCUCCACGUCCAGCCAGGCAACCAGCAGCCAGGUGGUAGCCAUCAAGAUUCAAGACUCAAGGGCUCCAACGUCAAGCCGAGCCAGCAGCCAGGCCGCAGCCGUACAGGGCUCCAACGUCAAAAGGUGGUCCAGGAGGGAAGCUGAUUCCUUCGGUGGUGGCUGAAGUUGAAUGGUGAGCUGCUGGAGAGUGGAGACGUGGAGUGGUGGCCGCCUGGCCGGUGGGCGCAUGGGCGGUGGCUGCUGGCUGGUGCAAAACUGCAGACUGUGCACUUGUGCCGUGGUGGCUGGCGCUAAUCUAUUCAUCUAUUGUGCUUGUGUGUUGUGUCAUUGUGUGUGGCUGUGUGCAUUUGUGCUUCCGUGUGAGACUUAGUUUGAGUUGUGUUGUGAACUUGCGAUCGUAUGUCACUGUCUACUGUAGUCUUCUUUUUAUUUUAUUCAUAUCUUGUUUCCUGAAUAGCUAUUAGUAUUGUGGCUGUAUUGUGCCUGUUUUUAAAAUUUGGUUGCUUCGGGAG